rnacentral:tRNA from 1 species
CAGGGAGAACCAACCUCAAAUGAUGAUCACCACUUUUUAGUGAUCCAUUUGACUGUUCAUUCCUAUGGUCGAUCGGUACCUCAGUGAGUGAAAUUCACUCAUCUCGGUCCUUAAGCUUGUCUAGGUCACCACCCCUUAGCUGAUAAGCUUAGUGGGAUGGGCCCGAGGGGGUUCCUGGGCCAUUAGCUCAGUGGUUAGAGCGCACCCCUGAUAAGGGUGAGUCCCUGGUUCAAGUCCAGGAUGGCCCAUCGGGAUUGGGGGUUUAGCUCAGCUGGUAGAGCGCCUGCUUUGCAAGCAGGAUGUCAGCGGUUCGAGUCCGCUAACCUCCAUUAUUCUUGAUAAUGGAACUGUGGCACAGGGUGACAUAGACGGAUGUUGGUGAUUCCAGCCUCGUUUGAUUCUUGAUUCAAGCUCAAACGAUGCUGGGCUCAGCAACGGGUUCAGCAAGAACCUUGACAACUGCAUAGGUAAGUCUGGAAAUAAAGCAUCUCACAGAGAUGUUCCAGGCAUGAAGUGAUUCGCGUUUAACAGCGUGAUUUGCUUGAUGUUUGGUUCAACAAUUCUGGAGAAAGCCGAGUCCUGAUUAUUUUGAUCAGGAAAAAAAU